AGGGGGCUAGCGUUGCUCGGAAUUACUGGGCGUAAAGGGCGCGUAGGCGGCACUGUUAGUCAGGCGUGAAAGUCCUGGGCUCAACCUGGGAACUGCGCUUGAUACGGCAGAGCUAGAGGAUGGAAGAGGCUCGCGGAAUUCCCAGUGUAGAGGUGAAAUUCGUAGAUAUUGGGAAGAACACCGGUGGCGAAGGCGGCGAGCUGGUCCAUUACUGACGCUGAGGCGCGACAGCGUGGGGAGCAAACAGG
rnacentral:rRNA from 1 species